UCUGUAGGUGGUUUAUUAAGUCUAGUGUUAAAGAUCAGGGCUUAACCCUGAGUCGGCAGUAGAAACUGAUGAGCUUGAGUACGGUAGGGGCAGAGGGAAUUCCCGGUGUAGCGGUGAAAUGCGUAGAGAUCGGGAAGAACACCAAUGGCGAAAGCACUCUGCUGGGCCGAAACUGACACUCAGAGACGAAAGCUAGGGGAGCGAAU
rnacentral:rRNA from 1 species